GACGAACGCUGGCGGCGUGCUUAACACAUGCAAGUCGAGCGGUAAGGCCCUUUCGGGGGUACGACGAGCGGCGAACGGGUGAGUAACACGUGGGUGACCUGCCCUCAGCUCUGGGAUAAGCCUGGGAAACCGGGUCUAAUACUGGAUAUGACUCCAUGACGCAUGUUGUGGGGUGGAAAGCCUUGUGCGGCUGAGGAUGGGCCCGCGGCCUAUCAGCUUGUUGGUGGGGUGAGGCCUACCAAGGCGACGACGGGUAGCCGGCCUGAGAGGGCGACCGGCCACACUGGGACUGAGACACGGGCCCAGACUCCUACGGGAGGGCAGCAGUGGGGAAUCUUGCGCAAUGGGCGAAAGCCUGACGCAGCGACGCCGCGUGAGGGAUGACGGCCU
rnacentral:rRNA from 1 species